GCCGAGGUGGCGGAAUUGGUAGACGCGCUAGAUUCAGGUUCUAGUGGGGCGACCCGUGGAGGUUCAAGUCCUCUCCUCGGUACCA
rnacentral:tRNA from 2 species